rnacentral:tRNA from 1 species
GCUAAUGUAGCAUAGUAUGGCCUUGCAAGAGACCUAAACCCUUUUUACAGAAGUUCAAAUCUUCUCAUUAGCU